AGAGUGAACGCUGGCGGCAGGCCUAACACAUGCAAGUCGAGCGGCAGCGCGGGGCAACCUGGCGGCGAGCGGCGGACGGGUGAGGAAUGCAUCGGAAUCUACCCUGUCGUGGGGGAUAACGUAGGGAAACUUACGCUAAUACCGCAUACGACCGAGAGGUGAAAGUGGGGGACCGCAAGGCCUCACGCGAUUGGAUGAGCCGAUGCCGGAUUAGCUAGUUGGUGGGGUAAAGGCCCACAAGGCGACGAUCCGUAGCUGGUCUGAGAGGAUGAUCAGCCACAUUGGGACUGAGACACGGCCCAAACUCCUACGGGAGGCAGCAGUGGGGAAUAUUGGACAAUGGGCGCAAGCCUGAUCCAGCCAUGCCGCGUGUGUGAAGGAAGGCCUUCGGUGUAAGCACUUUUGUUCGGAAGUAAGUCGUGCGGUUUAAUACCCAGUACGAUAGACGGUAACCGAAAG
rnacentral:rRNA from 1 species